GUAGGUGGCAAGCGUUGUCCGGAAUUAUUGGGCGUAAAGCGCGCGCAGGCGGUUCUUUAAGUCUGAUGUGAAAGCCCACGGGCUCAACCGUGGAGGGUCAUUGGAAACUGGAGAACUUGAGUACAGAAGAGGAAAGCGGAAUUCCACGUGUAGCGGUGAAAUGCGUAGAGAUGUGGAGGAACACCAGUGGCGAAGGCGGCUUUCUGGUCUGUAACUGACGCUGAGGCGCGAAAGCGUGGGGAGCAAACAGGAUUGGAUACCCUGGUAGUCCACGCCGUAAACGAUGAGUGCUAAGUGUUAGGGGGUUUCCGCCCCUUAGUGCUGCAGCUAACGCAUUAAGCACUCCGCCUGGGGAGUACGGCCGCAAGGCUG
rnacentral:rRNA from 1 species